CUCCUACGGGAGGCAGCAGUAGGGAAUCUUCCACAAUGGACGAAAGUCUGAUGGAGCAACGCCGCGUGAGUGAAGAAGGAUUUCGGUUCGUAAAACUCUGUUGCAAGGGAAGAACAAGUAGCGUAGUAACUGGCGCUACCUUGACGGUACCUUGUUAGAAAGCCACGGCUAACUACGUGCCAGCAGCCGCGGUAAUA
rnacentral:rRNA from 1 species